GCCCCGAUAGUGUAGUCCGGCCCAGCAUCUGAGCCUUUCGAGUUCAAGACCCGGGUUCGAAUGAAGAGAUGGGUCC
rnacentral:tRNA from 1 species